UGGAAAUGAAAAGAGAAAGGAAAAUGUGAUCCAUACUCAGGAAGAAAUAAAUAGAAACUGCCUUUAAUAUGGGCCAAAAUAUUGGAUUUAGCACACAGAUACAAAACCAGUGUGUGUGUGUGUGUGUGUGUGUGUGUAGGUUCUCCUUCCAA
rnacentral:sRNA from 1 species